AACGAACGCUGGCGGCAUGCCUAACACAUGCAAGUCGAACGAACCCUUCGGGGUUAGUGGCGCACGGGUGCGUAACGCGUGGGAAUCUGCCCUUUGCUUCGGAAUAACAGUUAGAAAUGACUGCUAAUACCGGAUGAUGUCUUCGGACCAAAGAUUUAUCGGCAAAGGAUGAGCCCGCGUAGGAUUAGGUAGUUGGUGGGGUAAAGGCCUACCAAGCCGACGAUCCUUAGCUGGUCUGAGAGGAUGAUCAGCCACACUGGGACUGAGACACGGCCCAGACUCCUACGGGAGGCAGCAGUGGGGAAUAUUGGACAAUGGGCGCAAGCCUGAUCCAGCAAUGCCGCGUGAGUGAUGAAAGGGCCUUUCGGGUUCGUAA
rnacentral:rRNA from 1 species